rnacentral:tRNA from 1 species
CCCUAGGUGGCUCAGUGGGUAAAGAAUCUGCCUGCAAUGCAGAAGACACAGGUUCAAUCCCUGGGUCAGGAA